GCUCCAGUGGCGCAAUUGGUCAGCGUGUGGUAAUUUUAAGACAGUAACCUGAAGAGUGAUGCUAAGGUUGUGAGUUUGUACCUCACCUGGAGCA
rnacentral:tRNA from 1 species